rnacentral:sRNA from 1 species
AUACAAACUCUCUUGUUCUUCAUAACUCUCUUA